rnacentral:rRNA from 1 species
CCGCCAGAGUACUACGAGCCACAGCUUAAAACUCAAAGGACUUGGCGGUGCUUUAUACCCCCCUAGAGGAGCCUGUUCUAUAAUCGAUAAUCCACGAUAAACCUCACCACCUAUUGCCAAUACAGCCUAUAUACCACCGUCCAGUCCGCCCUUCAAAGGAAAAACAGCAGACAUAAUAAUAAACAUUAAAACGUCAGGUCAAGGUGUAGCAGAUAAGAUGGAAAGAAAUGGGCUACAUUUUCUAACUUAGAAAACACGGAUGAUUCUAUGAAAUAAUCUCUGAAGGAGGAUUUAGUAGUAAAAAGAAACAAGAAUGUUCUUUUUAAACCGGCAAUAAAGCGCGCACACACCGCCCGUCACCCUCUUCAAAUAACUUAAAUCUUAAUUAAACAAAAAAUGAAAAACAAGAAGAGGCAAGUCGUAACAUGGUAAGUCUACCGGAAGGUGGACUUGGAAUAU